UGACGAGUUUGAUCCUGGCUCAGAUUGAACGCUGGCGGCAUGCUUUACACAUGCAAGUCGAACGGCAGCGCGGGGCAACCUGGCGGCGAGUGGCGAACGGGUGAGUAAUAUAUCGGAACGUACCCAAGAGUGGGGGAUAACGUAGCGAAAGUUACGCUAAUACCGCAUACGAUCUAAGGAUGAAAGCAGGGGAUCUUCGGACCUUGUGCUCCUGGAGCGGCCGAUAUCUGAUUAGCUAGUUGGUGAGGUAAAGGCUCACCAAGGCCACGAUCAGUAGCUGGUCUGAGAGGACGACCAGCCACACUGGAACUGAGACACGGUCCAGACUCCGUACGGGAGCAGCAGUGGGGUAAUUUCUGCAAGUGGGCGAAAGCCCUGACAGAGCAAU
rnacentral:rRNA from 1 species